rnacentral:rRNA from 1 species
AGCUAUAUAUUAAAGAGAUUUAUUUAUAUAAAUAGGUUUGCUAGCUGAUUGUGUAUAUACGCAGGCCAAUGCUUCUAAUUUCAUAGCAAGCUCGCUUGCUAUGAAAUAGGCAACCAGUAAUAUAAGCAAGUGUGUGCUAUUUAUAGCGCUAGCCUACAAACCUAUAAUUAUAUUAACUCUAAGAGAAAUUUAAUAAUAAACGAAGUGAAUUGAAAUAUCUUAGUAACUUUAGGAAAAGAAAUCAAAAGAGAUUCUAUGAUUAGCGUGAGCUAAAAUAGACUAGCCUAAAAAGUCAAAUGGUGGAUAAACUGUUUAAAUUAAAUGGGGAACCUUCCUCAAAGGCUAAAUAUAAUGUAUAAGCGAUAGUGGAAAGUACCGUGAGGGAACCAAAACAAAAACAGUGAUUUUAUAAGCAGUUCGGGAAAAUAAAAAAAAGUUAGAACGUACCUUUUGCAUAAUGGGUCACCAAGUUAACAUUAGAUGCGAGUAGGAGGCUUUGCCCAUACAUACGUAGUUAAACCGAGCGUUAAAAUAACGGUAAGUAUCUAAAGUUAGACCCGAAGCCUGGUGAUUUUACCAUAAUCAGGAUUAUAAAAGUCCGAACGGAAUAUUGUAGCAUAAAUAUCCGAAGAAUUAUGGUAGGUGUAGUGAAAGACAAUACUGACCAGGAUAGCUGGUUUUCUGCGAAACCUAUAACAGUAGGCAAUUUAAGUAUAAUAUCUUAGCAGGUACAGAAUUUAAUCUCAGACAAGACAUAAGGCUUAGCUUGCUAGCAAGUAAAGCUCAUGUUUUAUUUUGUACAAAUUGGGGGAUCAUGAAGAUUUUAUCAGUGAGUAUGUAGACUCGGAAUGGCAAAGAUAUAUCUUAAAUCAUCAGACAUAGAAUGAUAAGGUUGUAUGUCAAAAGGGAAACAGCCCAGAACAAGAGUUAAGGUUCCUAAAUUAUUAGUUGAGUGAAAUUAAGAAGGUUUUUAUUAAAGUCGACAAGGAGAUAGGCUUAGAAGCAGCCAUAAUUUUAUGACCUCGUAACAGAGCGCUUGUUAAGUUUUAAAAGCAUCGAAAAUUUAUCGGAUCUAAACAAUAUACCGAAACCUUGUCCAUAUUAUUUUAUAAUUAAAGCUUAAUUAUAAUUAAAUGGGGUAGCAGAACGUUGAGCUAAAUUAAGAUUUUUAUUUUUUAAAUGAAAUUAUAAUAAUUUAACUCAAGUGAUAAUGGUGACAUGAGUAACUAAAAGAAAAAAUAAAAUUUUUCCGCCUAAAGCUUAUGGAUGUAAUUAAGUAACGGCCUCUAAGUUUAUAUUAUCUAAAGAUUUAAACGAUGAGAUAAUCUUUUGUACUAAGGACGACAUUUUAAGUGAAAAAUGUACUGGAAAAAUAGUACUAAAUUAAUGGGUAUAGCUAAUUAGUUAGCUAUAGCUAUAAAUGAAAAGUAACCGUACCUAGAAUCUGAAACAAGUAAGCUAGUAGAGAAUACGAAGGCGUAAAUGAGCUAACAAUCAUAAAGGAACUCGGCAAAUUGACUACCGUAACUUCGGGAUAAGGAGAGCUCAUUAUUCUUGAUUAAUAUCAGGUAAAGAGGAAGAAGCAUAAAAUAGUGUUGUACGACUGUUUAAUUAAAACACAGCACUUUGCUGAAAGAUUAAAAAUCUAAGUAUAGAGUGUGAUGUCUGCCCGGUGCCGGCUGGUUAACAGAUAUAAUUAAAUAUACUAAUAUUUGAUGUAGACGGAAACCCCGGUUAAAGGCGGCCUUAACGUGAGGGUCCUAAGGUAGCGAAAUGCCUUGGCCGUUAAAUGCGGUCUUGCAUGAAUGAUGUAACGAUACAACAGCUGUCUCUAUGAUUGACUCAGUGAAAUUGGAAUAGCUGUGCAGAUACAGUUUACCUCUAGUUAGACGAGAAGACCCUAUGCAGCUUUACUGUCACUAAUUAUAGAGUAUGAUAAACAAUUUUCAGAUUAUAAGGUAAUUGACGGCUAGCUUGUUCAGCAAGCUAGCUCUAUGACAAUGAGAAUCCUUUAUUUUUUUUUCAUAUGAAUGAAUUGGUUUAGGAUUAUGAGUAGGUAGCGGCUUCUGCUACUUGGCGUAAGCAUUGCUUGCGUUAGGUGUCUGAAGUAUGCAUUCCAGCUCAUGCAUAGUAAAUCAACCUAAUUCAGCUUAUUUUCCUUUCUGCCAUAAGCGCAUAAUGAUAGAUUUAACUUAAAUUUUGAUUUAUGCCAGCUGCAGAAAUAGAUAAGUACCCUUGGCUAAGGAACUAUCGCUAGGGGACAGUUUAUGUGGGGCACAGACCCUGUAAAGAGUAAACAGGAGUGUCUAAUAAUUUAUAAUUAUUUUGUUUGCGAUUUAAGAUAGUGAAACUAUUUUUAAUCAUAUAAAAUUAUUUAUAUGUACAUUCGUUGUAUAUAUAUUUAAAAAAAGGUAGGAUUUUCACUAUAUAGAAAUUAGAGAUAAUAAAAAUAUUAAGAAUAUACGUUUCAGGCUGGGAGGGGGAAGCUCCUCCCUUUGAAAGGUAGCACUAAUAUUUUUUAGCUAUUAAGACAGGCUAUCAAGCUAGGCUCUAAUAGUUAUGUAUUAAUUAUCUAAAAAGCUCAACGGCUAAAUCUUGCCUUACUGUUUGAUUAUCAACAAAUCUUACAGUUGCGUAAGCAGGGCAUAGGAUCACAAGAUGCAACAAGGAAAGAUCUUGGAUUAUUGGAAAAGCUACGCUAGGGAUAACAGGCUAAUUUGCGCAAGAGUGUACAAAAUGAGUGCGCGGUUUGGCACCUCGAUGUCGGCUUAACUUAUCCUCAUGGAUGCAGGAACUAUGUAGGGUGCGACUGUUCGUCGAUUAAAAAGUUACAUGAGCUGGGUUAAAUACGUCGUGAGACAGUAUGGUUUCUAUCUUCUAGGGGGAAUUAGAAUAUAAUAAGAACUAACUUUUGUACGAAAGGAACAAGAAGAAUUUAAUUUGUAAAAGGGUUAAAUAAUAGUUACUAACCUAUGGUUUACCUGUUGUCUAUGUGCCCAAAUAUUAAAAUAUAUAUGGAGGAAGCUCCUUAAGAGCUUCCCCCGCAAAUUAUAUAUAUCUGUAUAGCUAGCCUGCGGACUCCGGUUAUGCCUGAGUUUGGCAAGCUAAAGCUAUACAUAGGGAUGUUUCUUUCACUAAGAUAAAUAUAUAGCAUAGGCACGGCAGGAAAGCUAAGUUGGUUAAGGAUAAGUGCUGAAAGCAUAUAGGCACGAAGCUUAUCUUAAGAUAUUUCUUAAAUAUACGUAAAAUAUUAUUACGAAGGAUGUAAUAUAGGCUUUAUCCGUACGAAUCAGGAGAUUUUUAAGAAUAAAGUACUAAUUUUAUAAAUAACUAUUUAU